UACGUAGGGUGCGAGCGUUGUCCGGAAUUAUUGGGCGUAAAGAGCUUGUAGGCGGUUUGUCGCGUCUGCUGUGAAAAUCCGGGGCUCAACCCCGGACUUGCAGUGGGUACGGGCAGACUAGAGUGUGGUAGGGGAGACUGGAAUUCCUGGUGUAGCGGUGAAAUGCGCAGAUAUCGGAGGAACACCGAUGGCGAAGGCAGGUCUCUGGGCCACUACUGACGCUGAGAAGCGAAAGCAUGGGGAGCGAACAGG
rnacentral:rRNA from 1 species